CUGCAGCCCGAGUGGUGGUCGAUAUUAUUGAGCCUAAAGCGUCCGUAGCCGGACUAGUAAAUUCUUGGGUAAAUCGGGCAGCUUAACUGUCCGACUUCCGAGGAGACUGCUAGUCUUGGGACUGGGAGAGGUCAGAGGUACUCCAGGGGUAGGGGCUAAAUCCUGUAAUCCUUGGGGGACCACCAGUGGCGAAGGCGUCUGACUAGAACGGAUCCGACGGUAAGGGACGAAACCCUGGGGCGCAAACCGGAUUAGAGACCCGAGUAGUCC
rnacentral:rRNA from 1 species